rnacentral:misc_RNA from 1 species
AAGUCGUAACAAGGUUUCCGUAGGUGAACCUGCGGAAGGAUCAUUACAAUACGUUUUAACACGUAUCGACCCUAAACGUUGAACAGUCUUCGAGUCCGUUAGGUUUGGUUCUGGCUGAUUUCAGGCGGGAAACGUCUUUUUUGACGAACCCCAAGCAGGCCUUUAUGGCAGGCAAACGGGAUUGAAUCAAGAGAGAUGGUCAAAGUGCCUUGAAUCUGCUUUACCAAAGUCGUGCGAGCAUUCGUGCUCAAAUGACGCGGUAAGACCUCUCCUAGCACGCGAACUCUUUUCCCGAACUUUGACCCCUAUUUAUUAACCCUUAUCACCAAAAUUAUCAAAAAAUUGAACUUAACACGAUUCAUGCUUCGAAAGGAGCAAAUACGAAUCGACAAGAUACGAAACUUAAGAACAACUCUUAACAACGGAUAUCUUGGCUCUC